rnacentral:tRNA from 1 species
UAGCUAUUAAUUUAAAAUAAAAUAUUAAUUUUGUAAAUUAAAAAUAAAAUAAUUUUUAUAGCUAA